rnacentral:rRNA from 1 species
GAUGAACGCUGGCGGCGUGCCUAAUACAUGCAAGUCGAGCGAACAGACGAGGAGCUUGCUCCUCUGACGUUAGCGGCGGACGGGUGAGUAACACGUGGAUAACCUACCUAUAAGACUGGGAUAACUUCGGGAAACCGGAGCUAAUACCGGAUAAUAUAUUGAACCGCAUGGUUCAAUAGUGAAAGACGGUUUUGCUGUCACUUAUAGAUGGAUCCGCGCCGCAUUAGCUAGUUGGUAAGGUCACGGCUUACCAAGGCAACGAUGCGUAACCGACCUGAGAGGGUGGUCGGCCACACUGGAACUUGGCCACGGUCCAGGCGACUACGGGAGGCAGCAGUAGGGAAUCUGCCGCAAUGGGCGAAAGCCUUACGGAGCAACGCCGCGUGAGUGAUGAAGGUCUUCGGAUCGUAAAACUCUGUUAUUAGGGAAGAACAAAUGUGUAAGUAACUAUGCACGUCUUGACGGUACCUAAUCAGAAAGCCACGGCUAACUACGUG